UCUAAGUUUGAUGGCGACCGGCGCACGGGUGAGUAACACGUAUCCAACCUGCCGAUAACUCGGGGAUAGCCUUUCGAAAGAAAGAUUAAUACCCGAUGGCAUAAUAGAACCGCAUGGUUGAUUAUUAAAGAAUUUCGGUUAUCGAUGGGGAUGCGUUCCAUUAGGCAGUUGGUGGGGUAACGGCCCACCAAACCUUCGAUGGAUAGGGGUUCUGAGAGGAAGGUCCCCCACAUUGGAACUGAGACACGGUCCAAACUCCUACGGGAGGCAGCAUG
rnacentral:rRNA from 1 species